rnacentral:misc_RNA from 1 species
GAUGAAGAACGCAGCGAAUUGCGAUACGUAAUGUGAAUUGCAGAUUUUCAGUGAAUCAUCGAAUCUUUGAACGCACAUUGCGCCCCUUGGUAUUCCGGGGGGCAUGCCUGUUCGAGCGUCAUUUCAACCCUCACGCAUAGCGUGGUCUUGGGCUCUGCCGGCAACGGCUUGUCUUAAAAUCAGUGGCGGUGCCAUCGGGCUCUACGCGUAGUAAUAAAACCCUCGCGUGUGAGUUUCGGUGGUCACUAGCCAGCAACCCCCAAUUUUUUAUGGUUGACCUCGAAUCAGGUAGGGAUACCCGCUGAACUUAAGCAUAUCAAUAAGCGGAGGA